GAGGUUUUGGUUUCCUUCUU
rnacentral:miRNA from 1 species